ensembl:snRNA U6 U6 spliceosomal RNA
UUGCUUCAGCAGCAUGUAUACCAACAUUGGAACAAUACAGAGAUUACCAUGGCCCCUGCUCGAGGAUGACAUGCAAAUUCAUAAAGCGUUCCAUCCUUUA